UACGGAGGAUCCAAGCGUUAUCCGGAAUCAUUGGGUUUAAAGGGCCCGUAGGCGGUUUAGUAAGUCAGUGGUGAAAGCCCAUCGCUCAACGGUGGAACGGCCAUUGAUACUGCUGAACUUGAAUUAUUAGGAAGUAACUAGAAUAUGUAGUGUAGCGGUGAAAUGCUUAGAGAUUACAUGGAAUACCAAUUGCGAAGGCAGGUUACUACUAAUGGAUUGACGCUGAUGGACGAAAGCGUGGGUAGCGAACAGG
rnacentral:rRNA from 1 species